rnacentral:rRNA from 1 species
CCUACGGGUGGCAGCAGUGAGGAAUAUUGGGCAAUGGAGGCAACUCUGACCCAGCCAUGCCGCGUGAGUGAAGAAGGUUCUCGGAUUGUAAAGCUCUUUCGGAUGUGACGAUGAUGACGGUAGCAUCUAAAGAAGCCCCGGCUAACUUCGUGCCAGCAGCCGCGGUAAUACGAAGGGGGCAAGCGUUGUUCGGAAUUACUGGGCGUAAAGGGCGUGUAGGCGGGUUAGUAAGGUAGUGGUGAAAUCCCAGAGCUUAACUUUGGAAUUGCCAUUAUAACUAAUAGCCUAGAAUUACAGAGAGGAUAGUGGAAUACCCGGUGUAGCGGUGAAAUUCAUAGAUAUUGGGUAGAACACCGGUGGCGAAGGCAGCUAUCUGGCUGUACAUUGACGCUGAGGCUCGAAAGCAUGGGGAUCAAACAGGAUUAGAUACCCCAGUAGUC